GUGGGUAGUUUGACUGGGGCGGUCUCCUCCUAAAGAGUAACGGAGGAGCACGAAGGUUGGCUAAUCCUGGUCGGACAUCAGGAGGUUAGUGCAAUGGCAUAAGCCAGCUUGACUGCGAGCGUGACGGCGCGAGCAGGUGCGAAAGCAGGUCAUAGUGAUCCGGUGGUUCUGAAUGGAAGGGCCAUCGCUCAACGGAUAAAAGGUACUCCGGGGAUAACAGGCUGAUACCGCCCAAGAGUUCAUAUCGACGGCGGUGUUUGGCACCUCGAUGUCGGCUCAUCACAUCCUGGGGCUGAAGUAGGUCCCAAGGGUAUGGCUGUUCGCCAUUUAAAGUGGUACGCGAGCUGGGUUUAGAACGUCGUGAGACAGUUCGGUCCCUAUCUGCCGUGGGCGCUGGAGAACUGAGGGGGGCUGCUCCUAGUACGAGAGGACCGGAGUGGACGCAUCACUGGUGUUCGGGUUGUCAUGCCAAUGGCACUGCCCGGUAGCUAAAUGCGGAAGAGAUAAGUGCUGAAAGCAUCUAAGCACGAAACUUGCCCCGAGAUGAGUUCUCCCUGAGACUUAGAGUCUCCUGAAGGAACGUUGAAGACGACGACGUUGAUAGGCCGGGUGUGUAAGCGCAGCGAUGCGUUGAGCUAACCGGUACUAAUGAACCGUGAGGCUU
rnacentral:rRNA from 1 species